rnacentral:rRNA from 1 species
AUUGAACGCUGGCGGCAGGCCUAACACAUGCAAGUCGAGCGGAUGAAGGGAGCUUGCUCCUGGAUUCAGCGGCGGACGGGUGAGUAAUGCCUAGGAAUCUGCCUGGUAGUGGGGGAUAACGUCCGGAAACGGGCGCUAAUACCGCAUACGUCCUGAGGGAGAAAGUGGGGGAUCCUCGGACCUCACGCUAUUAGAUGAGCCUAGGUCGGAUUAGCUAGUUGGUGGGGUAAAGGCCUACCAAGGCGACGAUCCGUAACUGGUCUGAGAGGAUGAUCAGUCACACUGGAACUGAGACACGGUCCAGACUCCUACGGGAGGCAGCAGUGGGGAAUAUUGGACAAUGGGCGAAAGCCUGAUCCAGCCAUGCCGCGUGUGUGAAGAAGGUCUUCGGAUUGUAAAGCACUUUAAGUUGGGAGGAAGGGCAGUAAGUUAAUACCUUGCUGUUUUGACGUUACCAACAGAAUAAGCACCGGCUAACUUCGUG